GCUAACCCCUUUUGCCAGCAUUUAAUAAUGCCUUCUUCAACUACUCUUCUCCGUCUUCUGUCUGCGUUUUUUUUUUCUUUGGAUAAAUUCUCUCAUCGUUUUCAGUGUGUGGUUUUCGUUCAAAUAUUGUGUCGUAGAGAUAGAGAAUUCCAGCUCCGAUGGAUAAAGAGAAGAAAGCAAAGGAAACUGAAGAGAAUCACCACCAACAAGAAAUGGAAUUCAAGGACUGAAAACGAAGACCAAGCAGCCCAAGGCCAAGAGGAAGAACCAACCGGCGACGAGAUUGAACGAAGCAAAAUCGGCAUCAUGAGAGCUCUUGCCUAGAGAGAAGAUCCAUCUGUUAAGGACGCUGAUGAUUUCAUGAUCCGGAGAUUCCUUCGAGCUCGUGAUUUAGAUAUAGAGAAAGUUUUGUAUGCAAAGGAUUCAUAUCCGAGUCGGAGUUUUCAACUCAGUUAGCCGAUGAGAAGCUUUGUAUGCAAGGGGUUGAUCGACAGGGUCGAGCUAUUGUUGUUGCCUUAGGGGGUCGGCAUAAGCCCACCAAAGGAAAUCUCGAGGAGGUCAAACGUUUUGUUGUCUAUGGUUAAGAGAAAAUUCGUGCCAGGAA